CCUACGGGAGGCUGCAGUGAGGAAUAUUGGUCAAUGGACGAGAGUCUGAACCAGCCAAGUAGCGUGAAGGAUGACUGCCCUAUGGGUUGUAAACUUCUUUUAUAUGGGAAUAAAAUGUUCCACGUGUGGGAUUUUGUAUGUACCAUAUGAAUAAGGAUCGGCUAACUCCGUGCCAGCAGCCGCGUUAAUACGGAGGAUCCGAGCGUUAUCCGGAUUUAUUGGGUUUAAAGGGAGCGUAGGUGGAUUGUUAAGUCAGUUGUGAAAGUUUGCGGCUCAACCGUAAAAUUGCAGUUGAAACUGGCAGUCUUGAGUACAGUAGAGGUGGGCGGAAUUCGUGGUGUAGCGGUGAAAUGCUUAGAUAUCACGAAGAACUCCGAUUGCGAAGGCAGUUCACUGGACUGCAACUGACACUGAGGCUCGAAAGUGUGGGUAUCAAACAGGAUUAGAUACCCGAGUAGUC
rnacentral:rRNA from 1 species